rnacentral:rRNA from 1 species
CAGUAGCCGCGGUAAUACGUAGGGUGCAAGCGUUAUCCGGAAUUAUUGGGCGUAAAGAGCUCGUAGGCGGUUUGUCGCGUCUGCUGUGAAAACUGGAGGCUCAACCUCCAGCCUGCAGUGGGUACGGGCAAACUAGAGUGCGGUAGGGGAGAUUGGAAUUCCUGGUGUAGCGGUGGAAUGCGCAGAUAUCAGGAGGAACACCGAUGGCGAAGGCAGAUCUCUGGGCCGUAACUGACGCUGAGGAGCGAAAGCAUGGGGAGCGAACAGGAUUAGAUACCCCCGUAGUCCCUGUCUCUUAUAC